CAAACUGGAUACAACACCGGCACCUCCUGAUGUUGUAGCAAAAGAAGGAGACCCUGGACGACAGUCUGAGCCUGAUGCUAUUAGCUCCUUGGAGGCCGACAGUGGGCCUGGCAUGA